rnacentral:rRNA from 1 species
UACGGGGGGGCGAAGCAGUUGUUCGGUGAAUUACUGGGCGUAAAAGGGCUCGUAGGCGGGCCAACUAAGUCGGAAUGGUGAAAUACCCCAGGCUUAACCCGUGGGAACCUGGCAUCGGAUAACUGGAUGGACUGAAUUCGGGAGAGGGAUGGCAGAAGUUCAGGUGUUAGCGGUGGAAAUGACGCAGAUAUCAGGAAGAACACCUAGUGGC